rnacentral:rRNA from 1 species
UGGGGAAUUUUGGACAAUGGGCGAAAGCCUGAUCCAGCAAUGCCGCGUGUGUGAAGAAGGCCUUCGGGUUGUAAAGCACUUUUGUCCGGAAAGAAAUCCUUGGCUCUAAUACAGUUGGGGGAUGACGGUACCGGAAGAAUAAGCACCGGCUAACUACGUGCCAGCAGCCGCGGUAAUACGUAGGGUGCAAGCGUUAAUCGGAAUUACUGGGCGUAAAGCGUGCGCAGGCGGUUUGCUAAGACCGAUGUGAAAUCCCCGGGCUCAACCUGGGAACUGCAUUGGUGACUGGCAGGCUAGAGUAUGGCAGAGGGGGGUAGAAUUCCACGUGUAGCAGUGAAAUGCGUAGAGAUGUGGAGGAAUACCGAUGGCGAAGGCAGCCCCCUGGGCCAAAUACUGACGCUCAUGCACGAAAGCGUGGGGAGCAAACAGGAUUAGAUACCCUGGUAGUCCACGCCCUAAAACGAUGUCAACUAGUUGUUGGGGAUUCAUUUCCUUAGUAACGUAGCUAACGCGUGAAGUUGACCGCCUGGGGAGUACGGUCG